GUGAAAUCGAGUCAUCACCUGCUGCAGUCAACUGUGUUCCAUCCGUUUCCAUCCCACUGAAUCCACUCAGCUUGAACAACUUUGGUUGAGCCCCAAAGAUUUGGAUACCACUGCAUAAGGAGGCCAUAUCUGAGUUCCAACUCCGCAUAAAUAGUAUAUUGCAAUUAUAUCCACUUAUGCAAGUAUGCAGGACCUACCAUCGCCUUUUGAUAUUUUUUUGUCAUCCAUGUCUUGUUGUUCUUGUUUGUCUCAAUUAUGUUUGUGUAUUGAAACCCAACUCUUGGAAAUCUGAAUAGAUGAGAG
rnacentral:misc_RNA from 1 species